CGUUUUCCCCCUUUUUUUUUCUCUUCUUUCCUAAACCUAGAUCUGUUGAAACUAAACUAAAUCUUCCAAAAAAAAAUCAAACCAUCAUCUCUAAACGCUCAUCUCAUUAAUCAAAAACCCAUCUUUCAGAAAUCAAACCCAAUCUUCCCUAACCCAAAUCUCGUUUGAAACCCUAGGUGCUUAAAAGAUUCUCUUAAAACAGAGAAGCAACAAGAUAAAACAAAGUUGAAUAAUUCAUUGCUUGAGGGGAUGUCAUCGAGGUUUGUCUCUUGUGUCAUAGCCUUUUUAGAAUCCAUGGAUGUCUGUGUCGGAAAUGUGUUGUGUCGGGGGUACCGAUACUUGUGGCAUUCAUUGAAUAAAACUGUAUCAGUGUAUGAGAACAAUCAUGAUACUUGCACACUUGGUUUAAGCACAUCUUAUUGCUGGUGAUUAUGCUACGGCAUAUUUAUGUGUUGUAUUUGUAUUUUUGGUAUCAAACAUUAUUAGUUCAUAUAGUUAAUCAAUUCUGUUUUAGCAACUGUGAAGAUGAUUUGCUGCUUCAGCUUUGUAUCUGGCUUUAGUUUUAAAAGCCUGUGAACUCUUUGGUCACCUUCUCA